CAAUAGCGUAUAUUAAAGUUGUUGCAGUUAAAAAGCUCGUAGUUGGAUUUGUGGUUCGUCCCGCCGGCUGGGUCAUUGACUUUUGCUGUGCUGGUCGUCCAUCCUUGGGUGGAAUCUGUGUGGCAUUAGGUUGUCGCGCAGGGGAUGCCCAUCGUUUACUGUGAAAAAAUUAGAGUGUUCAAAGUAGGCUUAUGCCGUUGAAUAUAUUAGCAUGGAAUAAUGAUAUAGGACCUUGGUACUAUUUUGUUGGUUUGCGCACUGAGGUAAUGAUUAAUAGGGACAGUUGGGGGUAUUCGUAUUCCAUUGUAAGAGGUGAAAUUCUUGGAUUUUUGGAAGACGAACUACUGCGAAAGCAUUUACCAAGGAUGUUUUCAUUAA
rnacentral:rRNA from 1 species